rnacentral:misc_RNA from 1 species
GCCAUCAAGCUGGAACAGGUUCCGGAACUUUUCCAUUGUCCGCCGGUGCCAAACUGUCGUAGUAUUCAACCAACACCUUCCACCCACCAGGGCACAUAAACCCAUCAGGAGGGUUCUCUUUGUUCUUUGCAAGUGUUCGCAUCUUGGUACCAGAUAUGAAGAGAAAGUCUUGAGGCCUUGUGGGAUCAAAGAAUGCCAUUUUACCCUGAGUCUUAUCAUAUGCAGCAACCUUGAAAGGAAG